UUUAAACUCCAUUUUUUAACUGGUAUUGUGGCAGUUCACAGCAGUUUCUUUUGCCUUCAACCUACGUCCCACGUCUUACAUCCCUCCCCCGGCAGUUAUUGAUAGGUUUUAUUGGUUUAUCUGGAAACUCCCCACUCCCCUACUACUUCCACCAUUUCCUGCCCAUGAUCUCACGGUUACAGAUCUGUUGGAUGAUCACAUCGGCUAACACUCACCGGGGUGAAGACUGCAAUCAUUGCCGUUUAACAUCCCCGUCACAGGAAACCAUAACCCUCACUAUCGUCACCUCGGCAGUUCGUACCAAACCAACGGUGUUGAUAAAACAGACCUUCGCAUCUCCUUUGUCACCUCUCUCUCCCCUCUUUUCCAGCGGCCGAUCUUCUUCUUCUUCAUUUGUAAAUUCUAUUGUAAAAGCCACCAAUUUUGCAGAGUCACAAGCAUCUAUUAGAAGUUAAUGACCACAAGGAUCUUAAACAGAAGAUGAAGAUCCUCUAAUAGAAGAUUUGGCGACAGUAUAUAUCGUUAUACAAUACUGAAAACAAUUGUUUGAUCUGUCAUUGGAUCGGUAUGGAAUCACGGAUACAAGAUCAUCCGGAAAUGUCACUUUGGUUUGGAAUGACUUAUUUAAGUCCUAUGAACUAAAAAUAAAGACUGAGAUAGAGGUUGAAUUAUUAAAAGAUUAAGUAAAUUCAAGUAUAUUUCAUAAGAAAAUAAAGACUGCGAUAAUGUGUACUUUGACUUUAGGAAGUCAAAUGGUGAAGGAAGAAAGAUUACAAAUAUGAAGUUCAACAGGUCCAGGGGCAGGGAAGAUGAUGUUAGUCCGAACAUUACAAUGUUUUAGUAAAUUAAACAAUUUACAGCAUGUAUAUUCACAUGUCAGCAGACAAGUGGUAGGAAGACAUACACCAUGACUGGCAUCACUCAGUAUGCAUUAUCAGAUUUAUUUGAACACAUAAACAAGCAAACUAAUAGAAAAUUUAUGCUGGUGACAUUUUCAAUGAAAUACCUUAUUGCAUGUGGUACUCCAUGUCUCCACUUAGACUCCUGGAUGAUCAAGAGGAUACAAGAGGCUGCGAUGGCAACCAAGAGAUUAAAAGGACUGUUUUUUACUACAAGAUGUCAGUCAUUAAAAUUAUCAGCCUCUUUUUGUUUUUUUUUUGUUUUUUUUAUAUCAACAUAAUGAUUUUUGUCGUCUAUCUUUGUUUGAAGUUUAUUUAGUCUUCUAAGGGGGUAUUUAGUUUGAGGGUUUGAAUUUGAAGGUACGGAUUUGAUAGCUUUGAGUAUGCUUGGUUUUUAAAAGCACGCCUAGGUGUGAGGCGACCUCAGGCGUAAUGGUCAUCGCUUUUACUUACUGAACUCCCUUCAACCCACCCAAUCCGUCUUGGCCUUUUUCUCAGUUACGGUCUUUUUAUUUUAAUCCAUCUUAGGUUUUUUUUUUGUUCAUCUUAGUACCUUCAUAAGAGCUUUUGUGCUCCUUCGUAUUGUUUCCAUAAAUGUUAUAAUUCAUAUUUGUUUUAUAAGAUUGUAAAUAUUUUAGAUAAACCAUUAUUAUCAAAGUUUAAAUGUAAACAAAAUAUCGUAUUUAAUAACAAUUUUCUUUAGAGAUGUUGACGAUUUAUUUAUAGUACUUUUAUGUAAAACCAACUUUAAAUUGUAUGAAUAAAAUAAAAUUAAAUAAAUAUAUCAAAGUCACAAAAUAGUACAUUGAUAUAUAAAAAAUUGAAAUAAAAAAGUGACAUUCUCAUGUGUUUCUCUAAAUGUCUAACAUGAAAGAUGAUUUAAUAUGUGUAAUGUUUUGGUCAGUUUCAAUAUGAACCCAAUUUUUGAACUGAACCUUUUUUGACUCUUAGCUUUUAGAAAAACUGAUGGCCAAAGUAAGACUGCAUAAACCCACCACACAUGGGUUGAUGUCAGAUUAUAAGCUAUAUACAUUUGAACUUGAAUAUUCAUAGUUUUGACCUCAAAAGUCAAACGAUACCUUUAUUUUUGUUUGUGUAAUCAAGUAUGUAGCAUUUUUACCUUUAAUCAUGACAUAUUUUAUUGUCUCAGCAAAAGCGUUUGUAGUCUCGACUGUGGUGUAUUUUCUAGAUGAUACGCUUCAUUAUAAAGACUAUUUCGUUAGAAAAGAUGAGGCAAACAUUUGUGGGAGCAAUUUUGUUCUUUCAAGAAUGAUUCCAGAAGUGAAGAGUUCUACUGUUUGCCCUUCAGUUUCAAUAGAUAUUUCUUAUCUGUUUGAUAUGAUGGGGUUCUUUUUGGUCUCAUUUGAUGUAUCUACAAUAUGUAAUCAUGUUAGAGGUUUGGUCAGUCAUGGAGAUUCUUUUAGGUUUAUUAAUUAUAUCGUUUUCCAUCUUCACAUAUUCAAAAUUAUAGGUUUGUGAACUAUCAUUGUAAUUUUGAUCUUUUUUCCUAUGCAAUUUCAUUUAUAUUUUGGUUAUUUAUAGAGUUAUAAUUUAUAUUUAUCAACCCGUGUAAUACACGGGCAUCUAACCUAAUAUAUUUAUAUGAUGCUCUAAAGAUGAUUUUUUGAAGCCAAUUCAAAGAUGCAAGGUAGAGUAUCUUUCCAAAUUCGCAUUUGAUGCUGAGUUAGUGUGUUAUUGAUCUUGAAAUUGAAAAUGCUCUAAUGUCCGGUAUGGACUAUAUUGAAGUUCCUCAAAUUGGUUCAUGUUCCGGUUCUAGAGGACGGGGUUUGAAAACUACCACUGAAUUACAGACCUACAGCAAAGGCUAGAUGUGAAACAUCCCAGGUUUGUUUUUUCUUAUAGUUUGGAUUCUCUUUUUUUGUGUAUACCAUGUCAAAAUCAUUUAAUUUAAGAUAGUUGUAUUUCUGUGUAGUGAUUUCUGACAUAAUGUGAUUAAGUAGAAAGGUUAGUGAUAAUAGAUAUGUUUUUCUUAUUUGUGUAAGUGGAUAUUUUUAGUGAUGAAAGUCAA